rnacentral:rRNA from 1 species
GUAAAAAAACGUAACAAGGUCUCCGUUGGUGAACCAGCGGAGGGAUCAUUGCUGGAACGCGUCGCAAGGCGCACCCAGAAACCCUUUGUGAACUUAUACCUUAUAUCGUUGCCUCGGCGCUGGCCCGCUCCCCUUUGGGGGGCGGCCCUCCCCCUCUGGGGGUUGGCAGCAGGCCCGCCGGCGGCCCAACAAACUCUUGUAUCUACCGAGUAAAUUCUGAGUAAAGCUUCUAAAUGAAUCAAAACUUUCAACAACGGAUCUCUUGGUUCUGGCAUCGAUGAAGAACGCAGCGAAAUGCGAUAAGUAAUGUGAAUUGCAGAAUUCAGUGAAUCAUCGAAUCUUUGAACGCACAUUGCGCCCUCCGGUAUUCCGGAGGGCAUGCCUGUUCGAGCGUCAUUUCAACCCUCAAGCCCUGCUUGGUGUUGGGGCAUUACCCGUAAAACGGUAAGCCCUGAAAUUUAGUGGCGAGCUCGCCAGGACUCCGAGCGUAGUAGUAAAACCCUCGCUUUGGAUAGUACUGGCGCGGCCCUGCCGUAAAACCCCCAAAUUUCUGAAUAGUUGACCUCGGAUCAGGUAGGAAUACCCGCUGAACUUAAGCAUAUCAAA